rnacentral:rRNA from 1 species
ACAACUUGAGAGUUUGAUCCUGGCUCAGAACGAACGCUGGCGGCAUGCCUAACACAUGCAAGU